rnacentral:tRNA from 2 species
AGGGGCGUAGCUCAGCUGGUAGAGCAGCGGUCUCCAAAACCGCAGGUCGCGCGUUCGAGCCGUGCCGCCCCUG